rnacentral:lncRNA from 1 species
ACUGCGCACCUCUGGGAGUGGUGGGCCAGGCGAAGGUGCCAUAGCGCGCGGCCCAGGCGCUGCUGCUGCAGCAGGAGCUGGCCCGGGGGCUCCCCGGCGCCGCCGUUUACAGGCGAGCGCAGGCCCAUGUUCUCGAAGUAGUGAGCCAGGAAGGCGAUCGGCUCCUCGGGCCGCGCCUCCAGCACCUUCAGCAGGGCCGCACGUAGCAUUUCCGUCACGCCGACCUGCCGCAGGAAGUCCUCCUCGCUCUCGGCCGCCCCCGCCGCCCGGGAUACCGACUGGCGGCCGCUGUCCGUGAAACCGGCCGGCGGUGGUACCGCUUGCCGCCGCUUCUCCACUGCCGCCAUCUUCGCUGAGGGCAGCGGGACCGGAAGCACCGCCAUAUUCCACUGUGCGCUAGAGCCCCCCCAAGGCGGCCAUCUUGAUUAAGGGCAGAGGGCACCGGUAUCCCGCUGGGAGACUUUGGGAAGUGACAAGGGCUUGCCUCUCCUGCCUCAAUCUCCGCAUCUGGAUGAAGGGCUUGGACCAGAACCCCUCCAAGCCCCUUCCCUGGACCACUCUGCUGGAGUUUCACUCUUGUCGCCCAGGCUGGAGUACAGUGGUGCUAUCUCGGCUCACUGCAACCUCCACCUCACGGGUUCAAGUGAUUCUACUGUGACGGCCUUCCAAGUAGGUGGGACCACAGGCAUGCGCCACCACGCCCGGCUAAUUUUUGUAUUUUUAGUAGAGACGAGGUUUUGCCAUGUUGGCCAGGCUGGUCUCAAACUCCUGACCUCAGGUGAUCCACCUGCCUCGGCCUCCCACAGUGCUGGGAUUACAGGCGUGAGCCAACGCGCCCGGCCUUGUUUUAUGUUUCAUACGAUUUAUUUU